UUGUGUCGAUGACUUUUUCUGUAUGUACAGCUCUGGAUGGAAAACAAAUCAGGCAUCUGGCUCUCAGCCUUGAAGAGCUGUGGUCUUUGGAGAAUAGAUGUGUAGUCACACUUUGUUUUCCUUUUUAAAGCAAAAGAACAAAACAAACUCUCUGGGGAAAGAAUGCGCUGGCAGAGAAUAGAAGAGAGAAACCAAAUAACCUUUGAAACAAUCGGGGGGUUGAGGGAUUGUCUCAGCCAUUCAGAUCAAAGAAGGCGUUUUGGGGACUGACAACGGAAAAUGGCUGGGUAAACAAGGGUAUUGUUGUAAAUGUCAAACACAAUCCAAGCCAAAGGAUGAGAACAAGCCCUAGCAUGGGUAAGUAUUUAUAGGGGAAAUUAAUUUGUUGUCUGAUGGCCAUGAACUGGGCAGUAGAGCAGAGUGAGCCUUUUACAAGCGAUAUUCAAUCUCCAUCCACAUUCUAAUGGCUGUAAAACUAACCAUAUGAAGCUAAUAAUUGGUGCAUAAAACUAAUACUUUCCAUUUUUUUCUCUCUUAUUUUGUAGGCUUUAUGCAUUAUAAAAAACAUGAUUAAGACUUGGUGGUUACACUCCUGGAUGGUUCUUACUUCGGCUUUUGUUCCUCUUGCUCAUUUCUCAUAAAAAAAUAUUAGUGUGGAUUGAGUAUAUCAAGUCACCUGCAGUGAAAAAAUAAAUGGGGAGAUUUCUCUUGCCUAAGUGUUUUAGAAGAGGCCCCAUAUAGCUGGUGCCAAGGAGUCUCAGAAAACUAGAUGGCAGCUUACCUAUGAAGGGACCUGCUAAGAGGUUAUGGACAUGUUCCACCCAUAUUAUCACACUGGCAAUCUCUAACCUAUCAAGCAUGACUUUAGGAAAGCUGGCACUGAGGAUUAUUUAGAAGUUGUAAUCAAUUUAGUAAGUGUCCCCAUCCUCAUUCUCCAUGCCAUUAGAUGUGUUUCUUCCUUAACACAAACCAAAAGAGAAGUAUGUCUAUGAAACCACUGGGAGAGCUUGAUAUAUAUCUUCUGGACUUUAUGAGACAUGGCAACAUGUCAACUCAUACUUGAAAACACAGGACUGUGGCCUGAACUACUUUUUUCUAGGGUCUAAGAUCAAGAUAUAUUAGGAAUAAUUAGCACUUCAAGAAUUUGGUGGGGCAAAUAAGGACCCUAUUUAAGAAAGGUAGAUUGGGUCAUCUUGGGAGAGAUUGUUUGGAAGGGUGACAUGACCCCAUUAGUGGGGAUGUACCACUAAAAGCCAAGAGGAUGAAGAAGACAUAACUGGUUAAUCUGAGAAGGCAUAACUACAGUCAGGAGAACAAUUAUUGCUAGAUGCCCUAUAAUGUAGACAAAGGGAGAUAUCUUAAAAAAAAAAAAAAAAAAA